rnacentral:lncRNA from 1 species
CUGUCAGUACAUUUAGGGUAUAAUUGGUUCAUGAUUGGAAUAUGAAUGAGCAGUGGAAGUGGAUUGCUUCAGAAUGAAAAAUAGAAUGACGAAUCAUCUAAAAAUGUUUGGUUCAUUAUUGGAAUGAAAAUCGGAAUGAAAAUUUAAAAUUUUUGACAGAGGAUUUUGAUUAAAAGAGAGAAAAGUGAUGAAGGGAGAGGAGGUAGGUGUUGAUGAAAGAGGAUUUUGAAUAGUUUACUUUGGAAUGAGCCAAUUCGAGAUUCAAAGCCGGAUUGGAUCAUAAAUGGAUUUGACUAUUCCCAUUCCGGAGUGGAAUGGAAAUCGGAAUCUGAUUCCUAUAAAACAAACGGCAACUAUCGGAAUCAAUGAAUUCUAUUCCGAUUCCGUAGUCUAAAAUAGGUGAACCAAACAUGCCCUGUCAAUGUAGAGGGAGGAAGGCUAUUGUGCUGCAGCUGCACCACAUGAUGAUGACCGAUUAGUUAUUUAUUUUUUUUAAAAAUAUAAUAAAAAUAUUUUUUUUUUAAAUUGUGAGAUGGUUGAAUUUUAUGGAAGGAAUUUGAUUGAUUGGAAACACCAUAUCAGUAAUAUAACUGUUAUAUUCUAGACUUUUUCAUAUAAAAGUGUAUAUUUUAUGUCUUUAAUUUUAAUUUUUUUUAUAAGACAAAUAACCAAAUGUAAGCCAUAAGAAACCUACAUUAAAUUUUAUACCUUUAUUAUAAUAGGUGUACAUAUAGUAUUUUGAGACUGUCUACUAUACUAUCGGUAGCACGAGACUUUCGUAUUAUCAAGUUUUUUUUUUUUUGUGAUGGGCAUCCGAACUGACAAUCAGCUUUGUUAUACUUAAUCUACACUAUUAAAAGUAUUUGAAAAUCAAAUUUCAUAAUUUUGCAACAUCAUUUACAUAUCAAACUGAGUAAUCCAAAAAUGAACUGCUGAAAAUAAAAAUCUAAUAAAACAGAAUGAUGAAAGACUUGAAUUUAAGAUAAGAGAUACUGGACUUAUUCUAAAUAGUGAAGAUAAUUUUCAAUAAAAAUUUUAUCAGAUUUGAAUUAUUUUACACCAUUAAAUUCAUGAAUACAUCACCUAUUAAAAUUAUUAAUUUUAAAAUCUUUUGAUCACUAGUCAAAUAAUAAAAAAAAAAAAUUCGGUUUCUAAAUAUUUUCAAAAACGUAGAACAUAUCUAACAGAGCCGAUCAUCAAUUCGGAAGCUGUAUCAUCGAAAACAACUUAGUAGUAUGGAGACUAUCGUGCUACCGAUAGUAUAAUAGCCGGACUCUAGUAUUUCUCC